rnacentral:rRNA from 1 species
AUUUGGGGUAUUGACUCCCUCAGUGACGCAGCUAACGCAUUAAGUAUUCCGCCUGGGGAGUACGGUCGCAAGACUAAAACUCAAACAAAUUGACGGGGGCCCGCACAAGCGGUGGAUUAUGUGGUUUAAUUCGAAGCAACGCACAGAACCUUACCUAGGCUUGAACUCCUCAGAAUCCGGCGUAAUGGCUGGGGUGUCCGCAAGGAAAUUGAGUGAGAGGUGCUGCAUGGCUGUCGUCAGCUCGUGUUGUGAAAUGUUGGGUUAAGUCUCGCAACGAGCGCAACCCCUAUCGUCUGUUGCCAGAGUUAAGUUGGGCACUCUGACGAGACUGCCUGGGUUAACCAGGAGGAAGGUGGGGAUGACGUCAAGUCCUCAUGGCCCUUACGCG